rnacentral:tRNA from 1 species
UCCCGUGUGGCUCAGUUGGUGGAGCAAUGGUGUUUGCAAUGCCAGGGUUGUGGGUUCGAUUCCCACGGUGGGAC